UACAGAGGUGGCAAGCGUUGUUCGGAAUUACUGGGCGUAAAGGGCGCGUAGGCGGCCUACUAAGUCAGACGUGAAAUCCCCCGGCUUAACCUGGGAACUGCGUCUGAUACUGGAAGGCUUGAGGAUGGGAGAGGGAUGUAGAAUUCCAGGUGUAGCGGUGAAAUGCGUAGAUAUCAGGAGGAACACCGGUGGCGAAGGCGGGUCUCUGGGCCGUAACUGACGCUGAGGAGCGAAAGCGUGGGGAGCGAACAGG
rnacentral:rRNA from 1 species